rnacentral:rRNA from 1 species
GAGUUUGAUCGUGGCUCAGAACGAACGCUGGCGGCGUGCCUAACACAUGCAAGUCGAGCGAGAAAGGUUCCUUCGGGAACCGAGUAAAGCGGCGCACGGGUGAGUAACACGUAGGUAACCUGCCCCUUAGUCUGGAACAACUGGAGGAAACUCCAGCUAAUGCCGGAUGAGACCACGAUUUCCUCGGAGAUCGCGGCCAAAGAUGGCCUCUACUUGUAAGCUAUCGCUGAGGGAUGGGCCCUGCGGGGUCAUUAGCUUGUUGGUGAGGUAACGGCUCACCAAGGCAGUGAUGACUAGCUGGUCUGAGAGGAUGACCAGCCACACUGGGGACUGAGACACGGCCCAGACUCCUACGGGAGGCAGCAGUGGGGAAUAUUGCGCAAUGGGCGAAAGCCUGACGCAGCGACGCCGCGUGGGUGAUGAAGG